rnacentral:rRNA from 1 species
GGAAGUAAAAGUCGUAACAAGGUUUCGAAGGGGAACCUGCGGAAGGAUCAUUACAGAGUUCAUGCCCUUCGGGGUAGAUCUCCCACCCUUGUGUAUCAUUAUAGAAUGUUGCUUUGGCGGGCCGCGCCUAGUGUGCCUGGAUUCGCGUUCAGCGUGCCCGCCAGAGGACCCCUAAACUCUGAAUGUUAGUGUCGUCUGAGUACUAUUAAAUAGUUAAAACUUUCAACAACGGAUCUCUUGGUUCUGGCAUCGAUGAAGAACGCAGCGAAAUGCGAUAAGUAAUGUGAAUUGCAGAAUUCAGUGAAUCAUCGAAUCUUUGAACGCACAUUGCGCCCCCUGGUAUUCCGGGGGGCAUGCCUGUUCGAGCGUCAUUUAUACCAAUCUAGCCCGGCUAGGUGUUGGGCUUCGCCGUUUGGCGGGCCUUAAAACCAGUGGCGGUGCUCUUAGGCUCUACGCGUAGUAAUUUUCUCGCUAUAGGGUCCUGGGAGAUGCUUGCCAGCAACCCCAAAUUUUUCUUAGGUUGACCUCGGAUCAGGUAGGGAUACCCGCUGAACUUAAGCAUAUCAAUAAGCGGAGGA